rnacentral:rRNA from 1 species
GACGAACGCUGGCGGCGUGCUUAACACAUGCAAGUCGAACGGUGAAGCUCCAGCUUGCUGGAGUGGAUCAGUGGCGAACGGGUGAGUAACACAUGAGCAACCUGCCCCUGACUCUGGAAUAAGCGCUGGAAACGGCGUCUAAUACUGGAUACGAGAAGGGUCCGCAUGGGCACUUUCUGGAAAGUUUUUCGGUUGGGGAUGGGCUCGCGGCCUAUCAGCUUGUUGGUGAGGUAAUGGCUCACCAAGGCGACGACGGGUAGCCGGCCUGAGAGGGCGACCGGCCACACUGGGACUGAGACACGGCCCAGACUCCUACGGGAGGCAGCAGUGGGGAAUAUUGCACAAUGGGCGAAAGCCUGAUGCAGCGACGCCGCGUGAGGGAUGACGGCCUUCGGGUUGUAAACCUCUUUCAGCAGGGAAGAAGCGAAAGUGACGGUACCUGCAGAAGAAGCACCGGCUAACUACGUG